CCUACGGGGAGCAGCAGUGAGGAAUAUUGGUCAAUGGACGAGAGUCUGAACCAGCCAAGUAGCGUGAAGGAUGACUGCCCUAUGGGUUGUAAACUUCUUUUAUAAAGGAAUAAAACGAGGCACGUGUGCCUUUUUUGCAUGUACUUUAUGAAUAAGGAUCGGCUAACUCCGUGCCAGCAGCCGCGGUAAUACGGAGGAUCCGAGCGUUAUCCGGAUUUAUUGGGUUUAAAGGGAGCGUAGAUGGGUUGUUAAGUCAGUUGUGAAAGUUUGCGGCUCAACCGUAAAAUUGCAAUUGAUACUGGCAGUCUUGAGUACAGUUGAGGUAGGCGGAAUUCGUGGUGUAGCGGUGAAAUGCUUAGAUAUCACGAAGAACCCCGAUUGCGAAGGCAGCUUACUAAACUGUGACUGACAUUGAUGCUCGAAAGUGUGGGUAUCAAACAGGAUUAGAUACCCUUGUAGUC
rnacentral:rRNA from 1 species